CUGUAUGGAAGGGCCAUCGCUCAACGGAUAAAAGGUACUCCGGGGAUAACAGGCUGAUACCGCCCAAGAGUUCAUAUCGACGGCGGUGUUUGGCACCUCGAUGUCGGCUCAUCACAUCCUGGGGCUGAAGCCGGUCCCAAGGGUAUGGCUGUUCGCCAUUUAAAGUGGUACGCGAGCUGGGUUUAGAACGUCGUGAGACAGUUCGGUCCCUAUCCGCUGCGCGCGCAGGAAACUUGAGAAGGGCUGUCCCUAGUACGAGAGGA
rnacentral:ncRNA from 2 species